UUUUAGAAAAUUCCGAAAAAAUUCUCAAAACUUUUAAUUGACGUCAUUAGAUUAAUUUCGGUGUUAGUUGAUUUUUCUAAAUUUAUUUUAAUCGUUUUCCUUCAUUGUGUUUGUUUUGGACUAUGGCUGACCAAAGAACUUUAAGGCAGUUAGCUGUCCCUAAUGUGAAUUAUAAUGGCAUGUGUAUUGAAUAUCCUGAAGCUGACACUCCUUUUGAACUAAAAUCUGGUUUGAUACACUUGUU
rnacentral:lncRNA from 1 species